CGCCGGGGGAACUGAGGGAAGGCAAAGAAGAGAAAGUAUCUACGGAGGUGCCUAACUGCCAACUGCAUGCGCUUUCUGACACUCUUCCGUUUCACCAUGAGCCCAGACACGUGUCAAACGACCACCACAGGCUGAAAGCAGGAGAUAUUGUGGAUCCGUUACUAGUGGUCUGCAGCUCUCAAUGACAAAUGACACUAGGGAGAAAGAACUUCAGAAC